GGGGCUGUCCAAGCCCGAUAAGUACCGCAAGCUCAGCUUCUUCGCCUUUUGGCCUUGACCAAGCUAGCACGAGGUAGAAGAAUCAUCUUGAUUGGUUCCGGCGGCUAGUUGCGCACAAAGGCGACACACACAUACGCUAAUGGAUCCUCAAGCUAGCUACGUAGAAGAAGCUCACACAAGACAUGAAGUGGCUCCUUCAACUUACUUCACUCCGAGCCUGCCACGAUUCGCUUCACUCCGCCCUGCCUCCGUCUUGGCACGCCCACUCCAAGCCAGACUUGACGUCACCGGCCCC
rnacentral:lncRNA from 1 species